ensembl:lncRNA
AUCCAAAUUCCAGGAGGGUAAACUUUCAACACCACGUCAUACUUCAGCAAAUUUACACAGAUAUUAUAUUGCGUCCCUUUCCUUCCCCCCCCCCUCCCCUCCUCUUCCCCCCCCCACCCCCCCGCUUCUCCUUUUGAGCCAUUGUGCUUAACUGAAUUUUAUAAAGCUGAUCGAUAUCUUGGUAAAAUAUUCAUUUUUAAACUAGCGGCCAGCGAAAUCUUUGCUUUGUGCUAAAGUCAACAGCCGCCCGCUUGCGGCUCCCAUAAAUGCGGGGAUGCUCCCGGCUCCCGCAGAGCGGGCGCGGCGGCGCGGGGCGCAGAAAUAGUCCUAAUCCUAUAUUUCGGCCGGGGAAAGUCCGCUUCUGCUCCACACUAGAUUAAUCCAGAAACCACAUAAAACCAGCACGGGGGAUCAGUGUCAAGGACGGAUGGGGCCAACCUCUGAGCUGUGCUGAGCGUGCUGCUGCCGUGUGUGCAUCCCCUAUGAAACCCCAGAUCCCCAUCUCUGAUUGCCUCUUUGUGUCUGUACUUGUGUGCAAUACCUGCGUUACGCUUCAGUAGACUCGGGAGCGGACAGAAGUGCUAUCUCUGCCUCGAGGAUAUUUGAGAAGAUGCUUCUCCGGGAUGGAUCCUUUUAGGAAAAAAUAAAUCGUUAAAACACUCCGGGAAAGCUGAAGAAUGAAUGAAUUUGUGGAGCUUUCUGAGGGAUGCACAUCCGUGCCAUCCUAAGGGUGAACACUCAUCCCACCCUGCAGGACCCCAGCAAUUGCCAUCCAGCACUGAGCCAUGCUACGGCGCUCUGGUCCUCCAGCACAUCCCUCCCUUUGCUGUUGCUCUGCACUACUGCAAAAUUACAGACUGGAGAUGGGGGGCUGAAAGCAGCAGCUCUGCUUCAGGGUGGCAGUGGGACGGGGCAGAAGGUGAGGCUGAUACUGCAAGAGGUUGCCAGGACUUUCUGUUCCCUCCGGGUCCAAUCUGAGGCGUCAUUAGCAAACUAAUAAACUGGCUGCAGAUGUUGAGCCAACAGCAGGCACGUUCCUCAGGAGCAUCCCUGCUAACUCUUGGCUUUGGGAAGCAAUCAGCUCAUCCCUGUGUUUCUCUUUGUGCCCACUCUCUGCCCCACUUCUUCCCUCCUGCCUGGAAUUUUAGGAGAAAAGAAGAAAAAAUAGAAACAGGAAACAAAGCGGGAGCUUCCUCAAAUCAAUUUUUUCAAGUUGAUUUAUUUUCUUUAUAUUGCAGUGGAUGGAGCUCUGUGGCCUUACUGUUUCUCUCGGAAAAUAGAAGUAUUUGUGCCAGUCACAGCAGUGCCAGCACAGAGGUGGCUCUGGCAAUUGGCAAACACCAAUGCCAUACCCAUACCCCGCUGACCCCACCAGAUCCCUCGUGGCCGAAUGGUGUGGGUACGGCAGUAGCGAUGCUGGAGGAGGCAGGCGCUGCCCUGCAUGGGGCCGGAUCUGGGUCCUUGGGGGCAGGAAUACACCAGGGCUGGAGUUUCAUGGGGAAUAGGAAUCCGCCGUGCCCAGGUGGGGCUGCGGCUUCUAAAGUGCCUCUUAAGCUUUCCUGUAUCCUGCUAGCGAGGGAAAAAACUCACAAGGGGAUCCUGCCUGUUCACCUAGCCCUGAAGGGAGAAAAGAGAGGGAUCCCCGAGGCUGGGAGGGCUGCUCUACCCCAAAGCCCAUCUCCAGGCAGGGGGCCGAGGGAGAGGCAUCCUGCUCGCUUCUUUCUGCCUCUAGCUCUGCUUUUUGUGCUGCCCCAGGUAGCGGCCCCAGCGCAUCCCCUGCCGCGGCAGCGCUGUGCUGCACGGAGCAGCACAUUUCCCCCGAGUUACUUAUUAACCACCGUUCGUUUGACAGGAUCGAUAUUUCAAGCUAGGGAGUAAACACUUAAGAAGUAAUGCUCCUCUCUGCUCUCUUUUUCCUCGGCAAAAUGAUUUAUUUUAUAAAAUGCAUCUGCCUGGCAGGGAGGCUGGAGCCCCGUGGCUUUUAUCCGCGGGAUAUGCAAAGCGCAUUUAUUUCGUCUUUUAUCUCUCAUAUUGCGCGUUGAUCCCAUACAUAUAGAUUGAUUUUGUUCAGGUAGAUAAUGAAAAGUCAAGUGGAAAAUUUACACAAAGGCACUCAGGAUCUCCACUUUCUAUUGGUAUAUAAAUUGGUUUAUUACUUCAUUCCCUUAAACAGCGACUUUCACGCUGGGGAACACUUUAAAAUAUAUCAUGUUUAAACACAGAACCAUUUACCUUCCGUGUGGUUUCUCUCUUUCCAUCGGUAAUUUCCUCGCCACUUUUGCUAAUUACCGAAGAUAUUUGUGUUUAAACAAGGGCCCCACCAGCAGCAAUCCGUCUCCCUCCUCCUCCUGCUCCCAGCAUCAAACCACCCCAACCAGAGCUCCCGGCGCUGGGCACGGGGAUGGUGACAAAGCCUGGCAGCGGGCUCUAAUUCCCCGUAAGCAGCUUUGGCUUCGCCACCCCAAGGCAGUGAAUGGAGGGCACUGGACGGGAGAGCGCAGCUCGGAACAAAACCGGCAGGAAACGUUAUUAAUAAACAUCUUCUGGACAUUUGGUGGCUCAUCUAGGCUGCUCCAGCUUAAAGCAAUUAAUUCAGGAUACUGACAUAAACUCUCCAGCUCUUUGACAGCUUGGAGCUGAAAUAAAAAUGCUAGUUCUCCAGGGAAAAGGAGAGGAUAGUUGGCUCUUUUCUGGACUGUUUGCUUAUAGGCCCAGAGAGCAAUCUUCCUUGCAGAAUGAAAUGCAAGGACACAAACAAUGUACCGGAGAGAGAAUAGAAGAUGGGAAUGAACAGUUUGAACUAUUUGCUCAGCAGAAGGGCAGCCACAAUGCUCAACCAAUGGCUUUCCCAUGCAUCAACCGGGCUUCUUAGGCCCUUUUGUUGUUCAUCCUCUUCCUCUGACCAGAUAAGAGCACAGCUGCACGGCCGUCGACUUAGCCACGCAAAUCUGGUGCCGCGCGGAGCCGCGUCCCUGCGGAGCUCGAGGACAAGGUGACACCGGGCAGCGGCACAUCCAGCAACCCCCGCAUUCAGUGCCACCUCCCCACAGCCAGGCUGCUGACCCCUGCCCUCCCCUUGCCCCCUUCCUGCCUCCGUUGCCCAUUGCCCAGGUGGUGCUAUGCUGCUCCGACCCAAACGCCAGCUCCAACCGUGAUGCUACACCGCUUCGUGCCGCCCCAGGCUGGGAUUCGGUGAGCAAGGCUGGAACAAGGUUUGUUUAGCUUGAAAGGGUUUGACGAGGUGAAAAGGCAAAGCGCCGAGGACUAAAGAAAACGCCUGCCUGGCUGAGAUCACACGGAGCACUCGUCGUCAAAGAGCACACCUGCAGGAAGCACCGAGUUUAAACACUGCUGUCACAAAAACCUGAGAAACCUCCGGGUAUUUCAUUGUGGGCUUUUUUUUUUGUCUCUUUUCCCCCUUCUCCCCUACUGGGUGGUCAGGAGAGCAGGAGGGCUCCCAUUGUCUGCAGAGCUGACCCCACGUGUCCCUGCCAUGCCAGCACCUGGCCGACACCGCAACGCCCCAAUCCAGCCCCAAUCUCCAGCCCAGCGCCCGGCAUUGGGCUGCUUAAUGAGACCCUAACGAGGUGCUCAGCCUUCAUUUCCAAAACGCUGCGACGCAGACAAAGGGAAAGUGCAGUCAGCUCCGAGUAAUUUGUGCCGCGCUCCCGGCGAAUGAAUUUAGGGGAGCAAAUAUCGUUAUGCGGGAUUUAAAUUAAAGUUGACACUAAUGUAAAUACGGCAAUGCAACCGGCUGUUUAAGAAGUGUGAUGAGGGUACAGUUUUAAUCAGGUCCUUUUAACUCAGGUGGCAUUUUAAAUCCUCGCCGGUUCAUUUGGAUAACAGUCCCAGAGGAUGUCCUGGAGUGGGAUGGUGAGGGAUGGUUGUCCCGGGAGCUCACCUGGUGAGCAGUGAAUGCAGUGUUGGACGCUGCAGAUGGAUGGACCCCCCCUGCCAAGGGCUGGGUAACAAAGGCAGAGGCGGCAGCUAAAAGGGUUGGUAAUAAAUUCUUGCGGGGUCGGUCAGCGCCUGCCAGAUUUCCCCUGGCGCUCUUGAACAAUCUGCUUCCAGCCUAAAUCAUAGAGCUGAGGCUUGGGGGAAAAAGGGAAAAAAGAAAAAAAAAAAAAAAGAGGAAAGAGCGGAGACCGCCUCACCUACUUCAAAGCCUGAACAGCGCAGAGGUGCUUCACAAUAACAAUAGCACUGGCUGCAGCCUGGAGGAGCUCCAUAACAGGAGCUCUGUAACCUGGCAAGACUCAGAGUUACGGUUACCAGAACAAUAUUUGGCAAGGGAAUUCUCCUGGUUCAUUUUUGUCAAAGGGAACAUAACGCCACUGGCAGGGAUAUGGUGCCAGCACGGCGCUGCGUUGGGUUCAGGCUGCAGUAGUGCCUGGCUUUUCUGGGCAGAGGGUUCAAUACCUAAUAGUAAUAAUAGUAAUAAUAAUCAUAUCACCAACAUCCACUCUGGGGAAGAAAGAAACCUUCUCUUGAGGUUUUCAGACAGCUGGCUGCCUCCAUGCCAUGCGUGCAGGAUGCCCGUGCUGAGCUCAUGUGAAGUUGAGGGUUAAGGUGGGGGGUAGGGUCAGGGCCCCACGUUAACCCAGAGUUUCUCUGGCUCCCGGCCCCACUCGGAGCUGCAGAGCCCUGCCGGUCCCUGCAGGGUAUUGCAUCUUCUCGGAGCUGUCCUAAUCCCCCCGUGUGACUCAGCGCUGUUAAAAUACCAAUGAGAAUAAUAAAAUGGGUUAUAAUGCUAUUAGGUAUUCCCCUUAGCUAUCCUGGCUACCCAAGGAGGAUGGAGUGGGAUGGGGAAGGGAGAGAGGAUGCAAUGGGCAUGGGCAAGGGAGGAUCCUGCAGCUGUCCAUUGGGCUGGAGCUAGGAUUUGGGGGAAGGAAGUGGCUUCUUGCCCGGGUUUUGUUCUGUGGAGGAUCCCCAGGUGGGGUGAUCCUACCCGCAGCCCCCCCCCCCCACCAGCCCCUGCCCUUUGCACAGAUGCCUAUGUCCACAAACCCCCCCUAAGCACUUAAUGAGCUCCGAGACGCCUAUUGUCUUGGCAAAGCUGAUUGAAACGGGCGAGGAGUUCAAGGGUUAGGAAGGGAGGGCUGUGUGGAGGCAGACACCCGGUGACACCAGGCUGCCCAGCCAGCAAAUGGGCUCUGCAGCAGCAUGGCACACACUGUGUCCAACACCCAUCACAUGCCAACAUACUGCUGGGUGCUGAGCCCAGACUGUGCGGCAGCUUAUCUGCCUUUAGCACAAAGCUGGGACGAAGUCUGCAUUGCCCAACGCAGAGCUGGAGUGGGCCUUGGACCCAGCCCUGUGUCAGCAGACCUCCCGGCCCUGCUCUGCUCGCUGACAGCCAGUGUUUUUUUACUCCUUGAGACUGUCAGGAAUGUUUUUCAUGCAGGAGUGUAGUGCAUUCAGCAUACUGAAACCGCCUUAAUCUCAGCAAGACCAACAAAGAUAAGGAAUAGCGUUUAAGUUGGCCGAAAUUAGCAAAUGCAUCUGCUGCACAAUGCCCCUGUUACCAUUAGCUGUGACCGGUGAAUGGCACUAGCAAAGUAUGCUGGCAAUGUUUAACAAACCAUCCGUCUUUUACCUGUUCCUACUCAACAGAAACCUUUGUUUGAACCACGGGCCUAUUCAGUCCUGCUGCUGUCUGCUUAUCAGCAAGAUUAAUCUCCGAGGUAUCACUAUAUUAAUUUUAAAACCUGCUUUUAUUACCACGAGUCCUCUGCUGGGGUGGAGAGGAGGUAUUUCUGCCCCUGCUGGGCAAGCUGGGCUCCGUGUUUGCCAAGCUCCACUGCCACCAUGACUCAUCCUUGCUACAUGCACCCAUGUCACAGUGCAAACACAUCCUGGCAGAUCUCUUGCCACAGGCCUCACGCUCUUUUUGGGAGGACAUACUUUCCAUAUCCAGCAUGCCUCGCAUCACCAAGGACAGUGACUUGGUGUAGCAUCCCUGUGCCCUUCUGCUGCAGCAUCCCUGCUGCAGUGCGUCUCUACACAUCCCUAUUACAGCAUCCCUGAGAAUCCCUGUGCAUCCCUGCACAUCCCUACUACAGUGUCCCUGUGAAUCCCUGUGCAUCUCUGUGCAUCCGUGCUGCAGCAUCCCAGUGCAACCCUGUUGCAGCAUCCCCACAAAUUCGUGCACUCCCCUGCAGCAGUGCAUCCCUUUGCAUCCCUGCACAUCCCUACUGCAGCAUCCCUGUGAAUCCCUGUGCAUCCCUGCACACCUCUACCACAGAAUCCAUGUGCAACUCUGCACAUCUCUGUGCGUCCCUGCUGCAGCACCUCUGCAAAUCCCUGCUGCAACAUCCUUUUGCAUCCCAGAUGAAGCAUCCCUCCUGCAGCAUCCCUGCACAUCUAUGUGCAGCGUCUGCAUGUGCCCUGGCAGCAUCCCUGCUGCAGCAUCCCCACGGUGUCCAAGCAAAGCAGGUUGAGAAGCUGCCCCCAUGGCACAGAGGGGUGCAGGGGGGGAACCUGGUGUGGUUUGCCAUCAGGAUGGCAGCUGGGGCCAGCACAGGCCCUGAAUUCCUGGCUGAGUGCUGUGCACACAGCGCUUAUCUUGCUCGGCUGUGUUUGUGCAGCAGGAGCCAGCCUGCACUGUGGGGUGAGGGACACGGCCGAGCACCCACAGAAGAACAUAGGGCAGUCCUGGGAAUCAAAUCUCUCCCAUCUUUAUGCACCGUGAGCAUUCUAGGGGUAAGGAGGGACAUGGGGGUCGGCACAGGGUGGUGUGGGACGCGGGACUGCUUCUCCUCACACCUUGUCCUCGCCAAUUUCCCUGCUCCAUGCCCUGGAAAAGCCACUGCAAAGCACAGUGCAUGCAUCCAGGCACCGUGAGGCUGCAGCAGGGCAGUGCAGGCAGGCAGCCUGCUGAUUCCCCGAGCCAAGGCUCUGACAAGGCUUUUCCAUGCCACACAUUCCGGGCGGUGUCUGCAUGGCGUGUCCUGGCUCUGCUUGGCAGCCGGCUGCCUCUGUGCAGACCACGGGCACUGGGACGUGCAGGACUUGAGCUCGCAGAGGGCACCCAGAAAGAAGAGGAUUUCCACCCCAGCAAGGGAGAAGCGGCCCCUUCCCCUUCCUCUGCCUAAGCUAACUCUUCUGCUAUGUCCAAUAACAGGCAGUCGGAAACCCUGCCUACACUGGCAGCAGACAGAGGCUUCCCUGUUUGGAUUCGAGAUGGGGAUUUCUGUGGCUGAAAGUACCUUUGUUAUUUUUCCAGGAAGGCUUCCUUUUUGGCUGGCUUCAACUCUGCAUAGGAUGCUCGCAGCAAAUUGACUGCCGUGAUGAAGAAGGAAAAAUAUUUAAACAAGCAAUUAUGAAUGAGCUUUGCUUGCUAACUCAGAAAGCAGUUUCCUAAGUUUAUAUAGAAAUGUAAGAGAUCUACCUUCCAGGUCCAAUCACAGCCUCAGGAGUUCUCCUCUUAGAUUAGAGCUUUGUGGCCAGCAUGAGCUAAAAGAGACUAAAGGGACUAAUCCUGGCCUAUCUCUGUGUGCAAACCGGGGUCGAACCUUCUCCCGCUUCCCCUUCUGCCUCUCUGUCCAGUGUGAGUUUUACGGAGCAGGAUUUUCCUCACCUGGCACUGUGGGGGCCCGAGCCAGUGGUGGGGUGACCUUGGCCAUUUCUCCAGAUGUGGCUCUGUCGCAUGGGACUACGGUUCCGGGCUCCCUAUACGUCCUUGAGAGCGUUAUCUGGGUGAGUCACCACUAGCCGGCCUCUGAAAUCUGUGACAUUUUUGGCAGUUCCCUCUUUAAUCUAAGAGGAGUAUGGAGCCAAGUGGCUCAGUCACCAUAUCUCAGCAAAAGGAGACUGAAAAGCUUAGGGCUGAAUUCGGGUUGACUGAUAGGAACAGUUUAUUUCCUGAAAGAGCGGUGAGGCAGUGGCACAGCUGCCCAGGGAGUGGUGGGGUCACCAUCCCUGGAGGCAUCCCAAAGCUGUGGGGAUGUGGCACUGCAGGACGUGGUCAGUGGGCACGGUGGGGGUGAGCUGUGGUUGGACUCGGUUAUCUUUUCCACCUUCAUGAUUCUAUGACUCUAUGAUGGUUCUAUGAAUAGCUCAUUAAUUUCACGCUGCACACACUUCCAACCCAGAGGGAUGCUGAAGGAAGCCCAGGUUUGUGCAACCUUCUGCGAUGCCUGGCUGCACCUCCCUGCUGUGCUGGCAGCAUGGGCAGCUCCAGCCAUGUUUUCCUCCCCACACUACAUGAACACAGACAGGAGGUCCCCUCGGUGAGCUCACUGAUGCAAUUCUGUCAGCAUCCAACCCCGGCGAGGAGGAGUGAAAUGUGCUGUCAGUCUCUGCCCGAGUCAAGGGAAAGGUUCAAGCACCUUGAAGUUUGACUGUGAUUCUCGUUGAAGCCAGCACAAAUCAUCUUUGCACAGCAGCUUUAUGGAGGCCUGCUGACCUGCCUGGCCUUUACGCUGAGGGAUAGGUUUUUCUACUCAGUGCUGGCACAAACAACUGCAUUUAUUGGCCAAGCCAGACAACAGAAUAGCAGUGCCUUGCUGCUCUUAGGGAGGACGAGCAUUCUCAGUCUCCUUUGUAAUCAUGCCUUCAUACAACUGGUUCCCAAGCAGUGCAUCUAGAGUCAUAGAACCAUGGACACAUAGAAUCAUAGAAUCGUGGCAUCAUAGGAUCAUAGUAACAUAGACCCCUGGAAUCAUGGAAUCAUAGAUCCACAGAAUCAUAGACCCCUAGAAUCAUGGAUUCAUAGACCCCUAGAAUCAUAGAAUCAUAGAACCGUAGAAUCAUAGAAUCAUGGAAUCGUAGAACCAUAGGCUCACAGACCCAUAGAAUCAUGGAAUCAGAACCAUAGAACCAAAGAAUCAUAGAAUUGUUGGAGUUGGAAGAAACCUUCAAAGGUCACCUAGUCUAAUUCCCCUGCAGUGAACAGGGAAACCUGGGUGCAUCAGGGCAAACAAACUGGGAGAAGAAGCACGAUGCAGAAAACACGCUGCUGGCAGCCAGGACUGGGGGCGAGUAGUGCAGCCUGCAUUCCUCCCCGCACAUACAUUAUUCACUGGGGAUUAUUUGCUCAACCCCGAAGUGCGCGCACGCAUUGACAGCUGCUCGUGGAUACAAAGCAUUGCAUUGAGAUGCCCAAUAUGGAACACAGGGCUUGGAUCUGGAGCUGGGAGCCCUGGGUUUUGUCUACAGGAGGGGAUAAAAGCGCCUGAACUGGGAUCUCCUGAGCAUGCGCUGCACCCAUGGGUGUUGCUCGGGUGUGCGCACAGGGAUGCCUAUGUGCAUAUAUGCAGGGAUGCAUUCAGACGUGGAAGCAGGGACACGCACACACAUAUAGGCAGGGAUAUAUAUGCGUGUAGCUGUGGUUGAGGGCAAGUGGGACGAAAUCUUCAGGCGGGCCAUGAAACAGGGAGGCGUGAGCCAGGGCGCUCAUUAGUACCUGGGUAUGACUGCCGCUGACCUGAUGGCAAAUAUGAAAUAUCAAAGCGCUUGUCAGCACUCCUGAAUGGGACAAAGAAAAGGCGCAUUAAUGAUUAACUCCGUUAAAAGCUCAGGCUUUUUUAUUCCCAUGGCGCUCGGACUAUCUCGCUGCCAUGUGACAUGCUAGGGCCAUUUUCUAGCAGAUUGGGGAAAGCUAGUGAGCAAACACAGGUGCUUUAGAGUCAGCAGCGCUGUCAGGGACAACCACAAACAACACCAGCUAUGCCUGCCUAAAUUAGCUCCUGUGUUUGCCUCCAUUUUUGCUUCCUGGAGAUUUUACUUUCUAAGUCCAAUGUCUUUCGCUCCCGUCUUCAACUAUUCACACGCAGUGUUAAAGGGGAGAAAGAAAAGAGAAGAAAAGCGAAAACACACAGAGAGGCUCCUCUUUGAACCAGCCACAGUGCGUGGGGACCGCAUGCAGAAAGGCCCGAGUCAACUAAUUAAAAGGACUCAGCUCUUUAACUGCAAAAACAAAACACGUUUGUUGUGCUCAAGUGGAAUUAUUCGGGUGAUCCUCGGCAAACAACGAGCCCUGCAUGCAUGCGGUGCUGCUGCUUGCAAGCUCCAUGCCGACACCACGGGUCCCAUCGGUGCCACUCGUGGAGGCUGUGUGUGACCUCUCCUCCACCGUGGUUCAGUGUGAAGGUCCCUCUAGCGGUAUUAUUUGUUUUCAUUUUUCCCUCCUUCCAUAGCCUGAAUGAGACAGACUUUCUUUUCCUGUUCAAAUAUUUAUAUAUGUGUGUUAUUGGGUUGUGCUCAAACUCCUUGCAAUCACACCGAGGCAAUAAAGAACAGACUAUCAGCGUGCGGUGAUAAAGGUAGUUGUGAGUAAACAGCAGAAAAUGAAAUAAAGUUAUAAAGAAGAAGGCCUGGGAUGGUAUAAAUGUCUACAAAUAAUCACAAUAUCAACCUGCUCAGUAUUCAAGCAAUUAAGGACAACAGGAGCAAAGCUGUGCUGGAGCUGUUCUGAAUUUACGUAGUCCCUGGUCCUCACAAAGUGAGCUCUGCAAGCAGUGGGAGAUUCUGGAGUUUGAAAUCAGCAUCUGGAUCUUGAACCAAGGACAUCCAUUGCAGAUGCAGUGUGCUUCACUUGGGGGGGGGGAUUAAAAUCUGUGUGUUUAGCGAGAUUACGCUUGAACUGGUCCCAAUUUAUUUUGCCAAAUUGAGCUGCAGCCAAUUUCUCUCCCAUGCGAUGAUGAAUAAAUAUCAUUAAAUAGGAGAAGAUGAAGGCGAUUGAUGCCCUUGUAUUAGCGGGAACUAACAUCGUGUGCUCGAGAAUGAAAGGACAAAAAUGGAGAGAUUUGGAUGCAAAUCAUUCAAAUGAGGAGGAUUAAGCAUGAGGGUACGAGGGAGAAUGGGGUCCAGAACACCAAAUGCUCAGAAGUGCAGGGAACUGCUCAGGAUUCAUUUCCCUUUGACCCAUUACUUUUGGUUUACAGGGAGCAAAAAUUCUUCCCUGUGCAGAAUGGUUUGAUUCGAGGCUGUUCUAGCAUAGGGCUGUCACUUGGAUCGUUUAUUAAACCGUCUUAAUGAUCACUUACUAAGAAAGCACACAGGUUGAUAUUUCCUACUAUGACACAGUCAUGGAAUCACGCAGGUUGGAAAAGACCACAAGGAUCCCCAAGUCCAACCAUCAACCCGUCCACACUGCACCCACUAUCCAACUAACCGCGUCCCUCAGUGCCACGCUACGAUUCCCCCUUUUCCUGCAGUCACAAAGGAUCAUGCAUGGGGUUUUGCAGCAUGUGAAGGUUGGGGUCUGCACCCAGGGAAGUCAACCCUUGGUUCUUCAAGGCAGCAGUGUGGCUGCCCUGGCUGCCUUUUGUUUGCCAUCCCAUCCCAGCGCCAUUGGGUGUGCUUGCAGAUGGGCCCAGUUGGCUUUUUGCUGCCCUAUAAAACAGGAGGGAAAAAAAAAAAUAAAAAAAAAAAAGGAAGUGAUACUGUUGCAAUCAGCCCAGUGUGUGAUAAAGAUUUAUUACAGGGAGAAAGCAAAUAAAGGUAUGGUAGGAACUUCUUUAUUACCCGUAUCGUGAUCGCUUAUGUGAUCAGUGACCUGGAAUACAUUCAAAUUCAUGUUAAAUAAAAGCCUAAUAGAAUUUUUUUUUUCCCCUGCAUUCUGGUGACAUGUGGUCAGCAGGAAGAGCAGCCAAUCGCUGUGUUUACCCACUUCCUGCUUUUCUGGAAAGUCAACAGUUUUUAAAGGCUUAGGCUGGCGUGGAAUUAAGAAACUUGCGCCGGUUUAACUAAGGUCGUUGGCGGACAAACGGGACGCAGGGGUGGCUUUGUGGAAGGGUUUUCCGUGCCAAAUUUGGCCUGUCCUGGGUUGUCUGCUGGGAGGAGGAGGAAGAAAAGGAGGAGAAGGAGGCCGGAGCCAGGGAUAGGUGUAGAGGUUGGUCCUGGUCGUGGCACCUUGGGGAGGCACCAAGUGGCUGGGGUCUUAUCAGCCCAACCUUGGAGAGCUUUCUUCUUCCAGUGGCUCAUCCAUCACUAGUUAACAGGGUACCCCUGUAAGGCUGCCUCUCUUUGUGCUGUAUCUUUAACCUCCCGCCAGUCAAUACCCUUUGUACACAUGUAUCUCGUUUCCUGAUAAUGCAUUGUAUUCCUUCGACCACCAAAAGCACUGGUGGGGUGGGAGAAACAGUUGUCUUAGAUAAAGAGCAAUUAGCACCUCCAGGGUCAGCCUGGUAUAUAUUGUUAAAGAAAAUGGGCCUGGAGGGAGGCUGGUGGAAUUCCUCCUGGCUGGAGAGAAUCAAAAAGGCUCCAGGUAAUUCCAAAGGAGCCUUUCUGGUGGGUGGUUGAUGUGGCCGUGCACCUCUAGCACCACACAAACCAGUUUCCUCAGGUCUCUGGGAAGAGCCAUGCAUCUUCAUUUAUAUGUUAAUUUGCAUUAAAUAAAUGUCACCAUAAACAAAUUGUAUCUCAGGAGAAGGUGGAAAACAUAUGGGUGUUUGCCAGCCAGGGGUUAUUAAUUUUAUACUUUCCAUCUGGAGUCUAUAAAGGGUCCAUUCGGAGAGCCAAUAAAGACCCAAGGUCGCGGCUGCAGCGCCACGGAAACCUUGCAGCUGGAGCACCUGCAGGCAUCUGCUGUUGUGGUGAAGGUGGCAGGGAGGGCCACAGCAAGAUGGGGACACUCCAUCGGUCCUGGAUAUCACAGCAUGUAAAUGUCUAUGCAAAUCUGUUACUAGGAGGGCUUGUGCUCCUAAGUCAUUUGGGCAAGAUGGAGAAGUCAGCCCUGAACUCAAAGCAGAGCUCUGAUGUUUUGAUUGAUUUAUUUAUUCAUAUAUAUUUCUUUUUGCAGAAAGCUUCUUUACUUGUUGCUAGAUUAAGGGAAAGCUAAUUUAGUGCUAAUUUAGUGCUGCUGUGAAGAACAUCUUGGGGGAAAAGUUGCUGCGAAUUCAACACAAGUUGCCCCUGCUGUUCCUGUCUGGCCUUCCCAGAGCCUGUAAAGUGGGAAAAGGAUUUAAAUACCGGUUUUCCUUUUGUAAUUGGAAUAAAGUGGGUCUGCAAGUGAAUGGGACAACAGGGUGCAAAGUCCCUGCUCCCCAGCACUCAGGUUCUGGAUGGA